rnacentral:misc_RNA from 1 species
CAACCCUCAGGCUCCGCCUGCUGUUGGGGCACCACCUCCGUGGGCCCCCAAAUCCACCGGCGGGCACGCCCCGGACCCGAGCGUAGUAGCACAUCUCGCUUAGGGCUCCGGGCGCGCCCCGGCCGCUAAACACCCCCUAUUCUAA